GAUGAAGAACGCAGCAAAAUGCGAUAAGUAAUGUGAAUUGCAGAAUUCAGUGAAUCAUCGAAUCUUUGAACGCACAUUGCGCCCGCCAGUAUUCUGGCGGGCAUGCCUGUUCGAGCGUCAUUUCAACCCUCAAGCCCUCGGGUUUGGUGUUGGGGAUCGGCGAGCCUUUCUGGCAAGCCGGCCCCGAAAUCUAGUGGCGGUCUCGCUGCAGCCUCCAUUGCGUAGUAGUAAAACCCUCGCAACUGGAACGCGGCGCGGCCAAGCCGUUAAACCCCCAACUUCUGAAUGUUGACCUCGGAUCAGGUAGGAAUACCCGCUGAACUUAAGCAUAUCAAUAAGCGGAGGG
rnacentral:misc_RNA from 1 species